rnacentral:rRNA from 1 species
GGGGAGUACGGUCGCAAGAUUAAAACUCAAAGGAAUUGACGGGGACCCGCACAAGCGGUGGAUGAUGUGGAUUAAUUCGAUGCAACGCGAAAAACCUUACCUACCCUUGACAUGUCCAGAAUCCUGCUGAGAGGUGGGAGUGCCCGAAAGGGAAUUGGAACACAGGUGCUGCAUGGCUGUCGUCAGCUCGUGUCGUGAGAUGUUGGGUUAAGUCCCGCAACGAGCGCAACCCUUAUCAUUAGUUGCUACGCAAGGGCACUCUAAUGAGACUGCCGGUGACAAACCGGAGGAAGGUGGGGAUGACGUCAAGUCCUCAUGGCCCUUAUGGGUAGGGCUUCACACGUCAUACAAUGGUCGGUACAGAGGGUUGCCAAGCCGCGAGGCGGAGCCAAUCCCAGAAAGCCGAUCGUAGUCCGGAUUGUUCUCUGCAACUCGAGAGCAUGAAGUCGGAAUCGCUAGUAAUCGCGGAUCAGCAUGUCGCGGUGAAUACGUUCCCGGGUCUUGUACACACCGCCCGUCACACCAUGGGAGUGGAAUCUGGCAGAAGUAGGUAGCCUAACCGCAAGGAGGGCGCUUACCACGCUGGGUUUCAUGGGGAACCUCACCUCCUU